CCGAAGUUACUCUUCAAAACCCUUUGUGAACCUUACCUCUUGCCGCGCUGUUGCCUCGGCGGGAGGCCGGGGGGGAGGUCAUCAUGCCCCAUCCGCGGGCCGUGCCCUACCCCUCGCGUCCCCGCCGGCAGCGCCAAACUCUCGUUUGCAUAGCGGACUGCAUAUUCUGAUUUAGAAGCAAAAAAACAAGUCA
rnacentral:misc_RNA from 1 species